AAGACACGACACGAGCGAAAAGUUCAUGAGGGCGGGUUGGUGACACGAAAUACAAACAAGAUCACCUGGUUACAUAGGUUGAUAUGAGCCACCAUGGCAUCCGUACACCAAUAAUGCGAGAGAGUAUCAUUUGGAGACGUGGAAAUAACUGAUGAUGAAGACCACACAUAAUGACCAAAGCAUCUUGUUAAAGCGGACUCUCCGGCCCGGCACCGCAUCACGACUCCCACCGAUCGUGACCGCUCGCUGCAACACAAACUCCGCUCACAGA